AAAUUUGAAACGAAUCGAUGUCAACGUUCACAAGAACCAAAACCGGAACAACAUUAGACUACUCAGUUGCGCCAUAAUAGUAUAACUUUACAACGAGUACUUUUUAUCAUUCUAUCGAAUAAGAAGUAAAAACUUUCUAUUAUACCCCGAGAGUGUAAAUUUGGAACGAAUCGAUGUCAACGUUCACAAAAACCAAAACCGGAACUACAUUAGACUACUCAGUU
rnacentral:lncRNA from 1 species